AAAUUCUGGCAAUCGCUCCCGCACUUGAUGCGGGAGAGGAAAGUCCAUGCUCACACGGAUCUGCGAUGACCGUAGUGAUCGCGCUCAGCGAAACAAUAAGCUGGGGCAGCAGUAAUGCUGACGGCGGGUAGAACGCCUAAGUCUUCGGAUAUGGCCGAAAUACCCUGAAGGUGCCACAGUGACGGAGCUGUCUAGGAAACUAUGCAGGUGGAACGAGGUAAACCCCGCGAGUGAGAAACCCAAAUUAUGGUAGGGGCACUUUUCCAAGGGAAAUGAACCGACGGAAGAGGCGGAGUGAAUCCGCAGAUAGAUGAUUGCCAUCCGCUAGUACGAGGCUUUGGCUGUUUGAGUACGUGGAGACAAAACAUGGCUUAUAGAA
rfam:Planococcus rifietoensis strain M8, complete genome.